CCUACGGGUGGCAGCAGUCGGGAAUAUUGCGCAAUGGAGGAAACUCUGACGCAGCGACGCCGCGUAUAGGAAGAAGGUUUUCGGAUUGUAAACUAUUGUCGUCAGGGAAGAGAAAGGACAGUACCUAAGGAGGAAGCUCUGCUUAACUACGUGCCAGCAGCCGCGGUAAUACGUAGGGAGCGAGCGUUAUCCGGUUUUAUUGGGUGUAAAGGGUGCGUAGACGGGAAUGCAAGUUAGUUGUGAAAUCCGUCGGCUUAACUGAGGAACUGCAACUAAAACUACAUGUCUUGAGUGCAGGAGAGGUAAGUGGAAUUCCUAGUGUAGCGGUGAAAUGCGUAGAUAUUAGGAGGAACACCAGUGGCGAAGGCGGCUUACUGGACUGUAACUGACGUUGAGGCACGAAAGUGUGGGGAGCAAACAGGAUUAGAUACCCGAGUAGUC
rnacentral:rRNA from 1 species